AGAGUUUGAUCCUGGCUCAGGAUGAACGCUAGCGACAGGCUUAACACAUGCAAGUCGAGGGGCAGCGGGGGCGUAGCAAUAUGCCUGCCGGCGACCGGCGCACGGGUGAGUAACACGUAUGUAACCUGCCCUAUGCAGGGGGAUAACCCGGAGAAAUCCGGCCUAAUACCGCGUAACACCUUAGGGGAGCAUUCUCUUGAGGUUAAAGGAGAGAUCCGGCAUAGGAUGGACAUGCGUCGCAUUAGGUAGACGGCGGGGUAACGGCCCACCGUGCCGACGAUGCGUAGGGGUUCUGAGAGGAAGGCCCCCCACACUGGUACUGAGACACGGACCAGACUCCUACGGGAGGCAGCAGCGAGGAAUAUUGGUCAAUGGCCGAGAGGCUGAACCAGCCAAGUCGCGUGAGGGAAGAAUGUCCUAAGGAUUGUAAACCUCUUUUGUCGGGGAGCAAAAAGGCUCUGCGGAGUCGUAUUGAGAGUACCCGAAGAAAAAGCAUCGGCUAACUCCGUGCCAGCAGCCGCGGUAAUACGGAGGAUGCGAGCGUUAUCCGGAUUUAUUGGGUUUAAAGGGUGCGCAGGCGGCGUGUCAAGCAAGCGGUAAAAUAGCGGGGCUCAACCCCGUCGAGCCGUUUGAACUGGCGCGCUUGAGUUCAGGCGAGGUAGGCGGAAUUCGUGGUGUAGCGGUGAAAUGCAUAGAUAUCACGAAGAACUCCGAUUGCGAAGGCAGCUUACCAGUCUGCGACUGACGCUCAGGCACGAAAGUGUGGGUAUCGAACAGAAAUAGAUACCCUGGUAGUCCACACAGUAAACGAUGAGCGCUAGGUGUCCGGGUCGCAUGAGACUGGGGUGCCCGAGCGAAAGCGUUAAGCGCUCCACCUGGGGAGUACGCCGGCAACGGUGAAACUCAAAGGAAUUGACGGGGGCCCGCACAAGCGGAGGAACAUGUGGUUUAAUUCGAUGAUACGCGAGGAACCUUACCCGGGCUCAAACGACUCAGGAAUAUAUUGGAAACGAUGUAGCCAGCAAUGGUCUGAGUCGAGGUGCUGCAUGGUUGUCGUCAGCUCGUGCCGUGAGGUGUCGGCUUAAGUGCCAUAACGAGCGCAACCCCUACCGCCAGUUGCCAACGGGUAAAGCCGGGAACUCUGGCGGGACUGCCGGCGCAAGCUGUGAGGAAGGCGGGGAUGACGUCAAAUCAGCACGGCCCUUACGUCCGGGGCGACACACGUGUUACAAUGGCAGGUACAGCGGGAAGCCACCUGGUGACAGGGAGCGGAACCCGAAAGCCUGUCUCAGUUCGGAUUGGAGUCUGCAACUCGACUCCAUGAAGCUGGAUUCGCUAGUAAUCGCGCAUCAGCCAUGGCGCGGUGAAUACGUUCCCGGGCCUUGUACACAC
rnacentral:rRNA from 1 species